UACGUAGGUGGCAAGCGUUGUCCGGAUUUACUGGGCGUAAAGAGCGCGCAGGCGGUCGUUCAAGUCGCGUGUGAAAGCCCCGGCUCAACUGGGGAGGGUCACGCGAUACUGAUCGACUCGAAGGCAGGAGAGGGUAGUGGAAUUCCCGGUGUAGUGGUGAAAUGCGUAGAUAUCGGGAGGAACACCAGUGGCGAAGGCGACUACCUGGCCUGUUCUUGACGCUGAGGCGCGAAAGCCUAGGGGA
rnacentral:rRNA from 1 species